AUAUUGCGCAAUGGGGGAAACCCUGACGCAGCGACGCCGUGUGAGCGAUGAAGGCCUUCGGGUCGUAAAGCUCUGUCAGAGGGAAAGAAAGGGUCGGCGGAAUAAUACCCGCCGACAUUGACGGUACCCUCGGAGGAAGCACCGGCUAACUCCGUGCCAGCAGCCGCGGUAAUACGGAGGGUGCAAGUGUUAUUCGGAAUCACUGGGCGUAAAGAGCACGUAGGCGGAUAGGCAAGUCAGGUGUGAAAGCCCGGAGCUCAACUCCGGAAUUGCAUUUGAUACUGCUUGUCUUGAGUGAGGUAGAGGGGGGUGGAAUUCCCGGUGUAGAGGUGAAAUUCGUAGAUAUCGGGAGGAACACCAGAGGCGAAGGCGACCCCCUGGGCCUCUACUGACGCUGAGGUGCGAAAGCGUGGGGAGCAAGCAGG
rnacentral:rRNA from 1 species